UAAAGGGCAUGCCUAGUACGGCGAGUGAGCGGCAACAGCUCAAAUUUGAAAGCUAGCCUUCGGGUUCGCAUUGUAAUUUGUAGAGGAUGAUUUGGGGAAGCCGCCUGUCUAAGUUCCUUGGAACAGGACGUCAUAGAGGGUGAGAAUCCCGUAUGUGACAGGAAAUGGCACCCUAUGUAAAUCUCCUUCGACGAGUCGAGUUGUUUGGGAAUGCAGCUCUAAAUGGGAGGUAAAUUUCUUCUAAAGCUAAAUAUUGGCGAGAGACCGAUAGCGCACAAGUAGAGUGAUCGAAAGAUGAAAAGCACUUUGGAAAGAGAGUUAAAAAGCACGUGAAAUUGUUGAAAGGGAAGCGCUUGCAAUCAGACUUGUUUAAACUGUUCGGCCGGUCUUCUGACCGGUUUACUCAGUUUGGACAGGCCAGCAUCAGUUUCGGCGGCCGGAUAAAGGCUCUGGGAAUGUGGCCUCCACUUCGGUGGAGGUGUUAUAGCCCAGGGUGUAAUACGGCCAGCCGGGACUGAGGUCCGCGCUUCGGCUAGGAUGCUGGCGUAAUGGUUGUAAGCGACCCGUCUUG
rnacentral:rRNA from 1 species